AAUGAACGCUGGCGGCGUGUCUUAAGCAUGCAAGUCGUGCGGCAAGGGUAGCAAUACCCCUAGAGCGGCGGACUGGUGAGUAACGCGUGGGUGAUCUGCCUCUGGGAUGGGGAUAGCCACUAGAAAUAGUGGGUAAUACCGAAUACGUUCGUCGGGCUGUGGCCUGACGAGGAAAGGCGCUUCGGCGCCACCCGGAGAUGAGCCCGCGUCCCAUUAGCUAGUUGGUGAGGUAACGGCCCACCAAGGCGAUGAUGGGUAGGCGGCCUGAGAGGGUGUACGCCCACACUGGGACUGAGAUACGGCCCAGACUCCUACGGGAGGCAGCAGCUAAGAAUAUUCCGCAAUGGACGAAAGUCUGACGGAGCGACGCCGCGUGGAUGAAGAAGGCCGAAAGGUUGUAAAAUCCUUUUGUUGGGAAGAAUAAGCGUGGAGGGAAUGCCCGCGUGAUGACAUGAACCGACGAAUAAGUCCCGGCUAACUACGUGCCAGCAGCCGGGGUAAACACG
rnacentral:rRNA from 1 species